rnacentral:rRNA from 1 species
CUCGUAGGCGGUUAGUCACGUCGGAUGUGAAAACCCAGUGCUUAACACUGGGCCUGCAUUCGAUACGGGCUGACUAGAGUGUUGUAGGGGAGACUGGAACUCCUGGUGUAGCGGUGAAAUGCGCAGAUAUCAGGAAGAACACCGGUGGCGAAGGCGGGUCUCUGGGCAACUACUGACGCUGAGGAGCGAAAGCUAGGGGAGCAAACAGGAUUAGAUACCCUGGUAGUCC